GACGAACCGUGCGAACGUUGUUCGGAAUCACUGGGCUUAAAGGGCGCGUAGGCGGGUGUGCAAGUCUGUGGUGAAAGCCUCCAGCUUAACUGGAGAAGUGCCGUGGAUACUGCGCAUCUUGAGGAGGGUAGGGGCAUCUGGAACGGUCGGUGGAGCGGUGAAAUGCGUUGAUAUCGACCGGAACUCCGGUGGCGAAGGCGAGGUGCUGGACCCUUCUGACGCUGAGGCGCGAAAGCCAGGGGAGCAAAGC
rnacentral:rRNA from 1 species